AGAGUUUGAUCAUGGCUCAGGACGAACGCUGGCGGCGCGCCUAACACAUGCAAGUCGAGGGGAAACGACAUCGAAAGCUUGCUUUUGAUGGGCGUCGACCGGCGCACGGGUGAGUAACGCGUAUCCAACCUGCCCACCACUUGGGGAUAACCUUGCGAAAGUAAGACUAAUACCCAAUGACGUCUCUAGAAGACAUCUGAAAGAGAUUAAAGAUUUAUCGGUGAUGGAUGGGGAUGCGUCUGAUUAGCUUGUUGGCGGGUAACGGCCACAAGGCGACGAUCAGUAGGGGUUCUGAGAGGAAGGUCCCCACAUUGGAACUGAGACACGGUCCAAAACUCCUACGGGAGGCA
rnacentral:rRNA from 1 species